rnacentral:rRNA from 1 species
CGCGGCCUAUCAGCUUGUUGGUGGGGUAAUGGCCUACCAAGGCGACGACGGGUAGCCGGCCUGAGAGGGCGACCGGCCACACUGGGACUGAGACACGGCCCAGACUCCUACGGGAGGCAGCAGUGGGGAAUAUUGCACAAUGGGGGAAACCCUGAUGCAGCGACGCAGCGUGCGGGAUGACGGCCUUCGGGUUGUAAACCGCUUUCAGCAGGGAAGAAGCGAAAGUGACGGUACCUGCAGAAGAAGUACCGGCUAACUACGUGCCAGCAGCCGCGGUAAUACGUAGGGUACGAGCGUUGUCCGGAAUUAUUGGGCGUAAAGAGCUCGUAGGUGGUUUGUCACGUCUGCUGUGGAAACGCAACGCUUAACGUUGCGCGUGCAGUGGGUACGGGCUGACUAGAGUGCAGUAGGGGAGUCUGGAAUUCCUGGUGUAGCGGUGAAAUGCGCAGAUAUCGGGAGGAACACCGGUGGCGAAGGCGGGACUCUGGGCUGUAACUGACACUGAGGAGCGAAAGCAUGGGGAGCGAACAGGAUUAGAUACCCUGGUAGUCCAUGCCGUAAACGUUGGGCACUAGGUGUGGGGGACAUUCCACGUUCUCCGCGCCGUAGCUAACGCAUUAAGUGCCCCGCCUGGGGAGUACGG